GACGGAGGGUGCAAGCGUUGUUCGGAAUUACUGGGCGUAAAGCGUACGUAGGCGGCGGAUUAAGUCGAAUGUUAAAGCCUGGGGCUCAACCCCAGAGAUGCAUUCGAUACUGGUCUGCUAGAGGGUGAUAGAGGAAAGUGGAAUUCCCAGUGUAGCGGUGAAAUGCGUAGAUAUUGGGAGGAACAUCAGUAGCGAAGGCGACUUUCUGGGUCACACCUGACGCUGAGGUACGAAAGCGUGGGGAGCAAACGGG
rnacentral:rRNA from 1 species